UUUAGCGGAACAUCGGCUAAUAGCGCGACGUCCUGUCGCAACACCGAUGGACUCGCAUCCU
rfam:Virgibacillus soli strain PL205 scaffold000016, whole genome shotgun sequence.